rnacentral:rRNA from 1 species
GUCGUAACAAGGUUUCCGUAGGUGAACCUGCGGAAGGAUCAUUACCGAGUUCAUGCCCUCACGGGUAGACCUCCCACCCUUUGUAUACCAUACCUUUGUUGCACUGGCGGGNAGCCUAGCUACUGGCUUCGGCUGGUAAGUGCCCGCCAGAGGACCCUAAACCCUGAAUGUUAAAGUGUCGUCUGAGCAAGAAGUUUAAUAUUUAAAACUUUCAACAACGGAUCUCUUGGCUCUGGCAUCGAUGAAGAACGCAGCGAAAUGCGAUAAGUAAUGUGAAUUGCAGAAUUCAGUGAAUCAUCGAAUCUUUGAACGCACAUUGCGCCCCUUGGUAUUCCGAGGGGGCAUGCCUAUUCGAGCGUCAUUAUCACCCCUCAAGCUCCGGCUUGGUGUUGAGGCCUGCCGUAAAGGCACCCUCUAAAAUCAGUGGCAGUGCCGUCAGGCUCUAAGCGUAGUAACUUCAUCGCUAUAGGGUCCUGGUGGAUGCUCGCCAAACCCCCCCAUAUUUUAAUGAUUGACCUCGGAUUAGGUAGGGAUACCCGCUGAACUUAAGCAUAUCAAUAAGCGGAGGAAAAGAAACCAACAGGGAUUGCCUCAGUAACGGCGAGUGAAGCGGCAAAAGCUCAAAUUUGAAAUCGGGCUCCUUCAGGGUCCGAGUUGUAAUUUGUAGAAGAUGUUUCGGGUGUGGCUCCGGUUUAAGUUCUUUGGAAUAUUACAUCGUAGAGGGUGAGAAUCCCGUAUGUGACCGGCAGCCUCCGCCCAUGUGAAACUCUUUCGACGAGUCGAGUUGUUUGGGAAUGCAGCUCAAAAUGGGAGGUAUAUUUCUUCUAAAGCUAAAUAUUGGCCAGAGACCGAUAGCGCACAAGUAGAGUGAUCGAAAGAUGAAAAGCACUUUGGAAAGAGAGUUAAACAGUACGUGAAAUUGUUGAAAGGGAAGCGCUCGCAACCAGACUUGCACGCAGUUGAUCAUCCGGUGUUCUCACCGGGGCACUCUGCUGCGUUCAGGCCAGCAUCGGUUUCGGUGGUUGGAUAAAGGCCGCGGGAAUGUGGCUUCCUUCGGGGAGUGUUAUAGCCCUCGGUGCAAUGCAGCCCACCGGGACCGAGGACCGCGCUUCGGCUAGGAUGCUGGCGUAAUGGUUGUAAGCGACC